rnacentral:rRNA from 1 species
AGCCUUNACCCAACAAGUAUUAAAGGUCCCGCCUGCCCAGUGACUAUUUAACGGCCGCGGUAUCCUAACCGUGCAAAGGUAGCAUAAUCACUUGUCCCCUAAAUAGGGACUAGAAUGAACGGCUAAAUGAGGACUUAGCUGUCUCUUGUAGAAGGCCAAUGAAACUGAUCUUUCAGUCCAAAAGCUGAAAUACUGCCAUAAGACGAGAAGACCCUGUGGAGCUUUAAACCUUGACCACCAAACAUGUUUCCCUCUUGGUUUUUAGUUGGGGCGACUUCGGAGUAUAAAACAACCUCCGAUAAAACACCAUGUCAAGAUUUACAUAUCGAAACACCCACUCGACCCAGUAGUUCUAGCCAAACUAUCUGAUCUGCGAACCAAGUUACCCCAGGGAUAACAGCGCUAUCCCCUUCUAGAGUCCAUAUCGACAAGGGGGCUUACGACCUCGAUGUUGGAUCAGGAAACCCUAAUAGUGCAGCCGCUAUUAAGGGUUCGUUUGUUCAACGAUUAAUAUUCCUA